rnacentral:rRNA from 1 species
GCGGUGAAAUUCCAAACGAACUUGGAGAUAGCUGGUUCUCUCCGAAAUAGCUUUAGGGCUAGCCUCGCAAAGAGGAUGCUGGAGGUAGAGCUCUGUUUGGACUAGGGGCCCGUCAAGGGUUACUGAAUUCAGAUAAACUGCGAAUUCCAGACAUUUAUGUGCGGGAGUCAGACUGCGAGUGAUAAGAUCCGUAGUCGAAAGGGAAACAGCCCAGAUCACCAGUUAAGGUCCCAAAAUUCAUGCUAAGUGGAAAAGGAUGUGGAGUUGCGCAGACAACUAGGACGUUGGCUCAGAAGCAGCCAUCAUUCAAAGAGUGCGUAAUAGCUCACUAGUCGAGUGACGCCGCGCCGAAAAUUUACCGGGGCUAAGCAUGAUACCGAAACUG